GAAUUUCACAACAUCAGAACACGUGUCGUCUUUUUCCCCUGUCACCAUACAGAGAAAAAGACCAGAGAAUUAGUAUGAACUGAAAAUAUGAGAGAGAAAGAUAAGAGGGUGAGUGAAGCAGCGGCGAGCCAUCUACGGAAACGGACAUGACGGUGGUACCGAGGUUUUCGGUCAUCGCAGCGGUGGUCAACAAUCGCACCAGGUGGUGGCUAGGGUUUCAGUUUUCGUUUCCGUUUCAGGCAUUAUCAGCAGCAGAAACCAAUGGUCAAUGCGGUUAGGGUAUCACCACAGUGAUGAAGAUGGCUUAAAGAAGCUCCGGCGAGAUACCUAGGGUUCCGGCCAUAUUCCGGCGAAUUCCCCGCAGAAGGAGAUGAAGAUGGCUUCAAGAAGCUCCGGCGAGAUACCUAGGGUUCCGGCCAUAUUCCGGCGAAUUCCCCGCAGAAGGAUUAAAGCUUGCAUGUUCCAUUUUCAUGUAGAUUGGUGACCGAUUCGUCUGAAAUCAUUCCGAGACAUGUUUUUAUGGCUUCCAGGAAGCUUCUAUCCUUUUACUUGAUGAAUAAGAGAGACAACAAAGAGAAAGGCAGUCCUUAAUGAGAGACUCAGGCGCGUGCAGACUAUCUAGCCAUAAAAAAAUGUCAAUGACGAAGCUUUCCAUGGUGCUAUCGGUUGGAGUGUACAGGAAGUGGUGGUGGUGCAGACGCAGCUCUGAUGAUUGUGGUGUUGAAACAAGGUCGAAACAAAACGAAAGGGGACAAUGACGACAUAGUGACAGUUUAGAAACCAUAGCCGUGAACUUAGCCGGCUAGGGUUUUUAUCAAAAAUCCAGUGACCCCUUCGAGCUGCGUGUCUCAUUUCGAAGCUAGGAUCUACGAGGUACUUGUAAAUCCAAUUACCUAUCUCGCACCACCUCUAUACAACUUUAAGGUACGUGUAAUUUGAAGAAUGUUACACAAUCGUUAUAAAUUAUCAGUCCUUCCACACUUGCGUUUUUUCGUAUGAUGAGGAGAAGCUUCAUUGAUGUUUUCAUUCCCCUUUUGCAAAGCGUGAGUAGAAAAGAUUGAAAUAAUUAUUUCUGCUUUCAUUAGUUGGAUGCUUAAUUUGGGUUUUUCUUCAUAAAUAUUGCUUUUAUUUUUGUUCGUUUGUUUUGAUUUCAUAUAUACAGGUUAUUACUAUUAAUGAAAAAAGAAUAUUUGGCAUCCUUUUGGGUUUAACAUUGAAUUGUGACAAAUGAGAACAUGGGCUGCCCUGCCUCUCAAUAUUCUUGACCCCUUCCACAAGGUCAAAAUUAGUUUUUGUAAGAUUUUACAAAAUGGUUACUCAUUAUUUUUAGUACAAACCAUAAACAUUAUGUAUUUAUUCUAAGUCUUACUGAAGCAUAUUGGUUAAUCAACAAAACUAGAAAGAUUUGAUUAGUUGUAUACUCCAAUCGAAAUCGUUUAAUUGUCUUAAAUUCAGGUAAAGAUUGUCAAAUCUGAGAGAUUAGGAGGCUGGAUUAUGAAACUGGUGACUCGACUUCUGACUCGCCAGGCAUUUUCAUGUCUGAUUCACUAACUCAACUCGGAAUUGCUUCCACAUUACAAAUGGGAGUAGAAACAUAAGACAUAGAAAAGCGAUGGUCUUUAGUAGAUAAACAUAUUUAUGGUCUCAAAACUGAAAAAAAAAAGGUCGGGAGUAAGCUUUGUAAGUUAAAACUUCUGGGAAUGUUGUAAUGUUGCUGUAAUCAUCUUCUCCAAGCCGUUGUUGAAGCCUUUGCUGUCUCAAGUAAACUUUGUUUUUAAUGGUUCUUUAAUUUUUGUUUUUCAACUCAAAUUUCAAGCAAAAUAAUCGCAUCUUUAUUGAUGCUUCUUUAUUUUAUUUUUUUUGCCUAAAUUGCAAUUAUAUAGAUUUGUGUAACUGCUGUCAACUUUUAAAUCCAACUACAUUUGUUUUAAAACAACCUGUUUUGACCCGUACUCAAUUUUGUCAAUACCCAUUUCGACUUGAACCAAACUGACCCCCUUUCAAACGAACUGUCUUAACCCGAAGCCGUUCUGACCCGAACGCACCCUGACCCAUUAGCCCACCCGACCCAACCUGCCGUUUUGACCCGUACCCCUUUUUCUCAAUACCCGUUUUAACUCGAACGAAACUGACCUCUUCUAACCUUACCUCACUCUGACCCAUUAGCCCGCCUUGCAGCUUGUAUCUUCUAAUAUGUUAUUUGAUUUUUAAUAGGUUAUAAUCAAGGUUCCAUUUUGUUGGUCACAGGUUCACAUUCUGUUGGUGGUGAGUCAUAUUGCAACUUAACGUGAAUUUUGUACCAAAUAACGUUUAUAGAACGACUCGGUUUGGCGCCGCAACGCGCGCACGGUUUCACACUAGUUUGAUUAAAUAACAUGACAAAAAUUGAGAAUUUGGUUUACUAUUCACAAAUCCGCAAUCGGACAUCCGUGAACGUCUGUGGGCAUGUCACUUUGAAGAGAUGGGUGACGAGCGCCGUGGUUCCCCUUCGCAAAAUCCAUCUCCGCAUACUGCCGGCAGAAGGAGGGAGUUUUGUGAGCGGGUAAGAAUUUGGAGAGGGGUUUGGGAGCCCUGGAUUGCCAUGUCAUGAGAAGUAAGUAGCUUUUAAUAAGUAAUUAUAUCAAGAUUGACACCUCUAAGUAAAAAUCUUUAGUUACAACUAAUCUUCUAAAGGGGAAGUUUCAAGCAUUUAGAAAAAAAAAAAAAAAAAAA